rnacentral:rRNA from 1 species
GACGAACGCUGGCGGCGUGCCUAAUACAUGCAAGUAGAACGCAGUUGCGAACGGGUGAGUAACGCGUAGGUAACUGCCUCAUAGCGGGGGAUAACUAUUGGAAACGAUAGCUAAUACCGCAUACUGUGAGAUGGACCUGCGUUGUAUGAGCUAGUUGGUGAGGUAAAGGGUCACCAAGGCGACGAUCCAUAGCCGACCUAAGAGGGUGAUCGGCCACACUGGGAAUGAGAAAAGGCACAGACGCCUACGGGAGGAAGCAGGAGGGAAUCUUCGGAAAUGGACGGAAUGCUGAACGAGCAAAGGCGCGGGAGUGGAGAAGGUUUUCGGAUCGUAAAGGUCUGUUGUUAGAGAAGCGGUAACUAAACAGAAAGGGACGGCUAACUACGUGCCAGCAGCCGCGGUAAUAC